GGGGGCGUCACGGCUUCGACGUGUCUGGUGAAGGUCGAGUAGCGUGCCGAGGUCCCGAACCUCGUAAAUCCUCGGAAAACCUUAUAGCUGCCAACAAUGAUCUGGCGCUGGCUGCGUAAGUAACCCUUACGUGCCCGUCUCCUGAGUUGCCCGCCCGAGGCGGCUCCUGCAGACGACGAUGAGUCGGGCUGGCUUGCCGGUGGUGUCGUCCCAUCGGCGGUGAGAUUUCAGACGACUGGCUGAGGUGCGGUUGUUCGCUGGCUGCCCGAAGCGAGAUCUACAGCGCUCUACGCACGUAGAAGCUCGAACGAAUCCAUUCGCGGACGCGGGUUCGACUCCCGCCGCCUCCACUC
rnacentral:tmRNA from 1 species